rnacentral:lncRNA from 1 species
CCAAAACUGAAGCCCCAAACCACUUCUGAGUGGCAGGUUUAAAAGCAGCUGAGCCAGGAACCCAUGCAGGAAACCAGAAGUUUCCCAAAAGCUGUAAGGAGGAUGCUCCAUUAUUCAUGUGGUGCCUGGAGCUGUGUUUGCCAUGGAAUUUCUGCAUGGCCCUGGGAAAACCAUGAGGAUCCUCCAUCUCGAUCACCCACAGAAACAAAAGGUCUGUCAACUCGUUUAACUGCUCAGAAAACACCAAACAAGAAAUAAAGCCCA